rnacentral:rRNA from 1 species
GAUGAACGCUAGCUACAGGCUUAACACAUGCAAGUCGAGGGGAAACGACAUUGAAGCUUGCUUCGAUGGUCGUCGACCGGCGCACGGGUGAGUAACGCGUAUCCAACCUGCCUCUGACCAAGGGAUAACCCGUCGAAAGUCGGCCUAAUACCUUAUGCAGUCGUCGGAAGUCAUCUGAUGACGACGAAAGAUUUCAUCGGUGAGAGAUGGGGAUGCGUCUGAUUAGCUUGUUGGCGGGGUAACGGCCCACCAAGGCAACGAUCAGUAGGGGUUCUGAGAGGAAGGUCCCCCACAUUGGAACUGAGACACGGUCCAAACUCCUACGGGAGGCAGCAGUGAGGAAUAUUGGUCAAUGGGCGAAAGCCUGAACCAGCCAAGUAGCGUGCAGGAUGACGGCCCUAUGGGUUGUAAACUGCUUUUAUGCGGGGAUAAAGUGAGGGACGUGUCCUUCAUUGCAGGUACCGCAUGAAUAAGGACCGGCUAAUUCCGUG